CACCACCACCAUUUCCACAAACCUGCCGCCCAUGCGAGCGGUGAACUAGCUAGUUACAUGCAGUGCUGCCAAUUCAAUCAUUGUCCAGCCUGCCCUGUAAGCUGAACAGCCCCUCUGAUUGCAGUUCCUGGGGGAAACGCCAUCGGGGCCAAGCUGCAGAGCCGGAGUGAGACAGAUUUCUAGUGCCCCCGCCGCAGGCUCUACCGGCAAUCACCAAAGAGCAGUUAUGGAGGAAGCCGAGACCAAGGAUGCACUGAUCAGUUUGCAGAAAUGGAGUUUCACUGACUAUUUGCAUUCCGGGCCUUGCAAAGCCGGAUUUAACCCGACACCAGUUUACUCCACUGGAGGAUCUGGUCCACACACCCUAACGGGCAAUACACAGAGCUGGCG